rnacentral:rRNA from 1 species
UUCAACGGCCGCGGUAUCCUAACCGUGCAAAGGUAGCGUAAUCACUUGUCCUCUAAAUAAGGACCAGUAUGAAUGGCUAAAUGAGGGCUAAACUGUCUCCUUUGAUCAAUCAGUGAAACUGAUCUACCAGUACAAAAGCUGGUAUUAAAACAUAAGACGAGAAGACCCUGUGGAGCUUUAAAUAUAAUGUCACCACAAUCACAAGCCUGANNNNNCAAAAAUUUUAAGUUGGGGCGACUUCGGAAAAAAACGAAACUUCCGAGCAUAGAAACUUCUUACUNAGGCCCACAAGCCAAAGCAAAACAUGACCCAGUAAAACUGAUUAACGAACCAAGUUACCCCAGGGAUAACAGCGCUAUCUUCUUCAAGAGUCCCUAUCGACAAGAAGGUUUACGACCUCGAUGUUGGAUCAG